ACGCUGGCGGCGUGCUUAACACAUGCAAGUCGAACGGAAAGGCCCUGCUUUUGUGGGGUGCUCGAGUGGCGAACGGGUGAGUAACACGUGAGUAACCUGCCCUUGACUUUGGGAUAACUUCAGGAAACUGGGGCUAAUACCGGAUAGGAGCUCCUGCUGCAUGGUGGGGGUUGGAAAGUUUCGGCGGUUGGGGAUGGACUCGCGGCUUAUCAGCUUGUUGGUGGGGUAGUGGCUUACCAAGGCUUUGACGGGUAGCCGGCCUGAGAGGGUGACCGGCCACAUUGGGACUGAGAUACGGCCCAGACUCCUACGGGAGGCAGCAGUGGGGAAUAUUGCACAAUGGGCGGAAGCCUGAUGCAGCAACGCCGCGUGCGGGAUGACGGCCUUCGGGUUGUAAACCGCUUUCGCCUGUGACGAAGCGUGAGUGACGGUAAUGGGUAAAGAAGCACCGGCUAACUACGUGCCAGCAGCCGCGGUGAUACGUAGGGUGCGAGCGUUGUCCGGAUUUAUUGGGCGUAAAGGGCUCGUAGGUGGUUGAUCGCGUCGGAAGUGUAAUCUUGGGGCUUAACCCUGAGCGUGCUUUCGAUACGGGUUGACUUGAGGAAGGUAGGGGAGAAUGGAAUUCCUGGUGGAGCGGUGGAAUGCGCAGAUAUCAGGAGGAACACCAGCGGCGAAGGCGGUUCUCUGGGCCUUUCCUGACGCUGAGGAGCGAAAGCGUGGGGAGCGAACAGGCUUAGAUACCCUGGUAGUCCACGCUGUAAACGGUGGGUACUAGGUGUGGGGUCCAUUCCACGGGUUCCGUGCCGUAGCUAACGCUUUAAGUACCCCGCCUGGGGAGUACGGCCGCAAGGCUAAAACUCAAAGGAAUUGACGGGGCCCCGCACAAGCGGCGGAGCAUGCGGAUUAAUUCGAUGCAACGCGUAGAACCUUACCUGGGUUUGACAUGGAUCGGGAGUGCUCAGAGAUGGGUGUGCCUCUUUUGGGGUCGGUUCACAGGUGGUGCAUGGCUGUCGUCAGCUCGUGUCGCGAGAUGUUGGGUUAAGUCCCGCAACGAGCGCAACCCUUGUUCACUGUUGCCAGUACGUUAUGGUGGGGACUCAGUGGAGACCGCCGGGGUCAACUCGGAGGAAGGUGGGGAUGACGUCAAGUCAUCAUGCCCCUUAUGUCCAGGGCUUCACGCAUGCUACAAUGGCUGGUACAGAGAGUGGCGAGCCUGUGAGGGUGAGCGAAUCUCGGAAAGCCGGUCUCGGUUCGGAUUGGGGUCUGCAACUCGACCUCAUGAAGUCGGAGUCGCUAGUAAUCGCAGAUCAGCAACGCUGCGGUGAAUACGUUCCCGGGGCUUGUACACACCGCCCGUCAAGUCAUGAAAGUUGGUAACACCCGAAGCCGGUGGCCUAACCGUUGUGGGGGAGCCGUCGAAGGUGGGACUGGUGAUU
rnacentral:rRNA from 1 species